rnacentral:rRNA from 1 species
AAAUGAAUUGACGGGGGCCCGCACAAGCGGUGGAGCAUGUGGUUUAAUUCGAUGCAACGCGAAGAACCUUACCUGGUCUUGACAUCCACAGAACUUUCCAGAGAUGGAUUGGUGCCUUCGGGAACUGUGAGACAGGUGCUGCAUGGCUGUCGUCAGCUCGUGUUGUGAAAUGUUGGGUUAAGUCCCGCAACGAGCGCAACCCUU